AGGUAGGUAAACGGCGGGAUUACAUUGCUAUAUCUUUCUAUUACUCCAUCUCAUUUUCGUUGAUAAUUCUCUACGCUUUCUUUUCGUGUACGUACGGUACCAUUGAUAAUAAUGGUGUUCAGGAAACGAGUUUUACUCGGUAGUUUGGAAAGCUUGUUAUAUUCCAGGAGGCUCCAUUACCUAUUUUUCUUAUGAAAUUCCGUGCUAAUAGUGGGGUUUUUAUGUAUGAGAUGUAUGUUAGAAUAACUCUUGUUAAGAGUUGUAAUGACCCACUUAGACAAAUUGAGUGGCGAGUUUGUUUAUUGCCCACUUCCAUCAUGAUUUAAGUGAUGGUUCUUUGAGGGUUUAAUUUACUACGUAUGAUUCAUUACACUAGUGUAUCUACAUCACCAGAAGUGAUGGUUACAUAAUUAUACUAGUGUAUCGUGGUUUAAUUCAUUAUACUAGUGGGGGUUACGGGAAGCUUUUGGCUCUCCAAUAUCUCCAUUAUUUGUGAGUUUAGUUUCCAUGAUGGAGGGAAACUAUAAGGUUUUCUUAGAAGAUAUAGAGUACCUAACCUAGUAUCUAUAUAAGCCGAUGACAUCCAUCACUCAACGCACUCAAGACAUGCAUAGGUUAGAAGACACCUAAAUCUAGUGCGUGUGUGUUCGGUGUACGACUUGAACAACAAUGGCUAGAGAAUAGUUCGAUCUUAUUUCCGCUGCCUAUACCGGUAUGUGUUUAAUUUAUCUUACACUGUAUGCUUAUAUGGACGGUGUUAUGCUUAAUUUACCAAGAAUAUGGCAAUUGUACUAAAUAAAGUUAGUCACUUGGUCCGGCACUCCGGAGAUUUGGUAGAAUGACCAAGAGAUGGACACGUGCUCGGGUCGGGGGUGAAAUGCGUAGCUGAGUUAGAAAGAUCGAGUGUGUCAUCUUAAGCAGAGAAGGCAGUGAGCUCGAGUUGGGGUUUUCUUACCAAGCCAAAAUGGGUGCUUGGGCAUGUGUUGGUUUAGUGGGGUAGGAGAUGUCUCGGCAGAGUCCAUGACUUUUGGCUCAAUGUUUUCCUUGGAUCGGCCCUUGGGUGGAUUAUGUGGAAUUGCUUUGUUGAUACAUGUGUCAUCUCAUGGGGACCGAUACAUGAUGUCAUGAUUGUUGGAGAUGUCUAUGUAGCAUCCCAACGGAGCUAAACUGGCAAAUUUUAGGUCCGCCACAUAGAGAGCCUCGUGUAUGAUGUACCUACAUCACUAUUUUAAUUUUUAUGAUAUUGGGUUUUUCUAAAUUUUUCUUCUAGACUCGAUGAGUUUUUUAGACACUACAAACCUAGACUAGAGAAGUUUCUAUGUAUCAUCACUCUUAGUCUAUUUUGUUGGAGUGAUGAUGAACCUGUGUGCAUUGUACAUUCUCUUUUUAGUGUGGCAAUUAGGGAAAGAAACUAAAUUAACACAAUGCGUAUAUUCGAUUCAUAUAACUCCUUUAUUAAACUAGUUUGUUCAAUUUUACUACAUUUUAUCGGAAUUACUUUUGUGGUAAUUAUGAUAAGACGUCAAUAUUGGUGUUGGACUAACCUACCAUAAUACUCUGAAGUUGUAGACGAACCAAGCUGACUUCGUAGAUGUAGGUAAAUACAAGCUACACGUAUGUUUGCUUAAUGGACAACUAGAGAGUAAACGCGCUUGGCUAUUUCUAGGUGCCAGGAAGUUGCUAAAACUCCAACCCUAUGUUAGAGACACUUGGAUCCAUCUUCCCUUUUCCUACUUAUCUUUCCUAUUCUAUUUUAGAAAAUCUCAAAAUAAAACCCUAAAUCACUAAAUCUACUAUUUCCUUCACUAUAUCUUUGCCAUCACGAUUCAUGGCCGGUGAAAGCAGCCAUUCCACAACCCAUCUAUCACCUAAACAAAGUCGGAAAAAACAAUUAUCACCCGCUAUAGAUGAACGUUCACUGAAAUUGCCUGAUCUCCCUUUGGAACUGAUCCUUGAGAUUCUUUUGCGAUUACCUGUCAAUUCCUUGAUUCGGUUCAAAAGCGUAUGCAAAUCUUGGCAAACCAUGAUAUCUAGUCCACAAUUUGUGAAAAAACAUCUCGGUUUUGUAACUAUGGGUGACACCAUUAACCCAUGGAGGAUCAUUGUCCAAAACCCGUAUCAGGAUUUCAAAUCGUACUCUCUGUAUUCGCUUUUUCAUGAACCAUAUGGCUUUGAGGUGGAACUCGGAUACCCAUUCAAGACGCCCCAGUAUGGUAGUAUUGUGGGAUCAUGUAACGGCCUGGUAUGUAUUUACUUUUGGGAACUGGUUGAUACCUUUUACAUAUGGAAUCCAUCCACCAGGGAAACCCACGCUUUGUCAGCUUUCGGGAAAGAAUUUGUUGUUGGCACUUCUUUUGGUUUUGGAUAUGACUCCCCCAAUGAUGACUACAAGGUGGUUAGGGUUGCUUUUGUUGAAGGUCGACAUGAAGUAGAGGUUUAUUCCUUAAGGAAAGAUUUAUGGAGGAGGAUUGGGGAUUUCCCCAGCCAAUUGAUUACUAAUUAUUUUGUGGAAGCAGGUAAACUUGUGAAUGGAUCAAUACAUUGGGCUGCAACCAAUCCUAGCAGUCACUCUUGGUUAAUCACAACCCUUGAUUUAUCGGAGGAGACAUACAGGGAAGUUCCCCAACCUAAUUAUGAGUCAGAGGUUCAUGAUUUAUCUAUCAUUGCUUUGAGAGGUCGCCUCUGUAUUGUUUGUGAGGAUGCUUAUUGUUCUGUUGAUCUGUGGUCAAUGAAUGAAUAUGGCAUUAAAGAGUCAUGGACUAAAUUGUUCAGUAUGCCAUACUGGCCGGGACACGGUCCUUUUCAAUAUCCAGAGCCAUUGUGGUGCUUGAAGGAUGGUGUGUUUUUGGUAAAUAAUGACGGGGUAUUUGGCAUUUAUGAUUCCAUAGAGCAUACAUUCAAGUACCCUUUAAGUCAUGUAACUCAUAUUUUUGACCAAGCAGACAUCUAUGUAGAGAGCCUAGUUUCGCCUAAUGCUUUUAUGAAGGUGCCAACUGGCCUUAAUCAGUAAGGAAUGAGAAGAAAAGGUACUACAAAACCUGGUUAUAUUCUUUGUUGUUUCUCUUUUGUUGUUUGUAUCCCGUAUCUUCUGUUAUUUAAUAGCAAUACUUCAUUCUUUAAUGCCCUUUGAGGUUUAUCUUCGUAAUCAAGCAACAGGGACAUUGUAAGCAAUCAAUAGUCCUUAGCCAAAGCCAUAAAAGAUGAUACAUGAAAAGAACUGGCCGCAAUCAAUCUGCCACAAAAUCCUUAUUCGCAACUUUUCCUUAUCUUCUAGGCAUUUAAGUAGAAGUAGCAAUGACCAGGUGAGUACGAUCAGAAACCAGCAAUUAUAAAUUCAAAGGUGUACGCUACAGGAGAUCAGUUUAUGAUUAUUUUAGAGUGCUUUUCACAUGCAUGAAGAAAUAACUACGGCUGCAUUUUGUUGUAUGUUCUCUCUAGAAAACAUAUCCUCUGAACAUAAAGUGCAUACAUAGGGAGGAGGCCAGGCAACUGCAACUAUUGUAGAGUAUUAGGCCUGGCAUGAGCUAUUGACCUAUUCCGUUGUGUGCUUCAGUUUGGUAUGAAGUUUCAUAAUAUUUUUUAUGUGGAUUUAAAUGAGAAUUGAGAAAUAGCUUCGGCAACGUAUUGAGACACAGUGGAGUUGUGAAAGAAGGGUUAUUAGUUGGAGUAGCCCUGUUUGUGUAUAAAGAGUGCAUAUUAUGUAAAUUCCUUGAGAUAUGAGUGCACAUUAUGUUCCCUUGGAAUUGUAGAAACUCAUGAAUGGCCUAUUUCUUACUGGCUUGGUUCCUCUUUUGGCUUAUUUCUGCAUGGAAUUAGAAGUUGUUAUAUAGAUCCCUACUGAAUAUCAACUGCCUCUGAUGUUCAUACUUUUUGAGUCGUAGGUUGCGAAGCAGUGUUUAUAGAGUGAUUCCACGUUUUUUUUUUCUCUCUAGAGGACACAAGUAAAAUUGAUUGGUUAUCCGGCUAAUGUACAAGGGAUAAUUGUUAGGAGUCCCGGAGUACCAUGUCAACUAACAAUAGUGUGUCAUCAUGUCCUACCCGUUAAACUUAUCACGGCGUGAUUUGUUGGGACCACAAUACCACAUGGUGUACUGUGGGAGUAUCCAAUGACUACCCAUGUAUGAGAAGUAGGGAGGGUUAUCACAAAUCUAUUAGAUAGGGGGAAAUCUCUUAGUGCUUCAGUAGAUCAAGGCAAAGUUUUCAUCAUAAUCACAUAAUUUUGAAAGAUUAUAUUGUUCUUCUGCUUGGUGAACUACCAAUAUAGCCCUGACUUAGAACUUAGAAGUUAUAGCUGGACUAGAGGAGCUAUAACUGUAAAGAAACAUUUGGAGGUUAAGGAGACAAGAGGGGGGGGGGGGGGGGGGAGGGGGGGCGGGGGGGGGGGGGGGGUGUUUCUGAGGUGAGCUUGUCUAGCGUAUUGCUCGUUGCCUAAAAAAUGCUAAACCUAGAUCAAUUUUUUCUUGAAUGUGCUAUGAGGUUGUAGAUGCUACAUGUUGUAGGAUGCUUGGUAGUUUGAAUGAUGCGUUCUCUUCAGAAUGAGUGUUUGAAACAAGGAUGUUGAGAUGUAUGUGUGAGAGGAUAAAAAACUAUAUUAUGUUUUAUCGAGUUGUCCUUCAACAUGAAACCAUGAGGCUUGCCAUGAUUGUUAUUCCAGCUGAAGAAUUGCCCUUAAAUUCAUGUAAUCCCUUUAGCAUCGUUUAUAUGAAUAGGAAGUCCUUACAAUUUAAAACACUUGUACUAGUAUGCGUAAGUUGGCUAUGGAACACAAGGGCAAGAAAAUAAUAAGUAACAAGGGGAAGCAAAGCUUUGUAGACAACUUCACUUCCUCGGUGCUUCUUUUAGUGACUUGUGUGGCGCUCUGUAUAAUGUUAUUAUGGACCUUCUCUCUCCGAAUUCCAAACUGAGGAAGGAAUGGUAAUGUCUUGCAGUAUUACUUAAAGGUUCUUGGGUAUGUGUUUUGUAGUUUUGAGGUAUUUGUGAUGCAUGAGGAUUAAAUAAAUUAAAAAAAGGUAAAGCCGUUUGGAAUCUGCACCUUAGGAACCCUAGAAAUUCACAUCUAGGGUCAUAAUGGCAUCCACACCACUACUAAUCUAAGAGAAAACAAUUGCAUUUCGUCAACUCCAAGAACAAUUUAGAGUCCUUUAAAAGAGGCUCUUACACAUGGAAACUACAAAUAAAGAUGAGGAUAUCCUAAAAAUAUUUGCUAAUGGAUACAAUUCAAAUAACAACUUUAUCUACUAAACAAUAUUCUUAUAGGCAUACUAACAUCUAAAGAGAUAAACAUACUUCAGGAUCAAACGCGAAUAACCCAUUUAGUGAUCCCUUUUGUUCCCCAUCAGUUCCCUUGUUUAGAGAAAAUCAACUGCUGUGAGUUAGAAGUGUUGCUUAUGUCUUACAAUUGUGGUUAAUUGGGAGGGUGUUACAACUAUUGAACCAUUGUUACUUAUCAAAAAAAAAAAAGAGUUGGAAGUGUUGCUCAACUCAAAGACAAUUGGGAAGAGGCGUCUAUCAUUGCCACCGGAGACGCGCACCGAUGGAGAGCAAAAGACGUCAGAAAAUGUUUUGGGCAGGAGACACAAUAUGGGCCCAAAAGAAGAAAGCUUAGGUCCUUAGGAGAUAAACAUCCACCAGGAUCGAACUCAAAUAACCUGUGAAGUGAUCCCUCUUGCUCCCCAUCAACUUGUGUCCUACAUUAUGAAAUAGCUUUUCUUUGUUUCCGUUCCUUAUUACGGUUGUGCAAUAUCGGCCUAUCGGGUAUGUGAGGUGGUUGACCUGUUUUUAUUUUGUAUGUAUGUUUCUGUUAACAAAAUAUUUAUUUUGUAUAUGUAAAUAGCUGCAAGACCAAAACAGGGUGCAAAGAACCAAAAGCCCUUCUUUUAAGUUCCUCUUGGUACAUUGCUUACAUACCCGGCUCAACAUUCUUUGGAAACAUUCGAAUCGAAGUCAUUGCAGUUGUGUCGCUUUCAUCAAUUAUUCGCAGUUGGUCCUUGUAGUCUAUAUCUCUUUCUCAUUCGUACUUCUAGUUUAUCUUAUGGUAGGUUUUCCCGUAAUUUAGCUGGGCCACAUUUUCAUUUUUUAUUUCUUGAAACCCAAACUUACUAGGCUUCCAAUAGCUGCAAAAGAUUUUUUUUCCCAUGCUAUAUGAGAGUCCUUGAAUUAUUUCAAUCUGUUGAUAUGCUGUUUUUUAGUUUUUUAUUUUUUUAUCAACAAAGAAAGGAUUCCAUAUCAUUAAAAAUGAUUCAAAAUAGAAUCCCAUGUAGUGAUACACCAGGAAGCAUCAUGCACAAACGGUAGUACCUCACCUAUUAGGCUUUAAUGAUACAAAAUAGAAUCCCAUGUAGUGAUACACCAGGAAGCAUCAUGCACAAACGGUAGUACCUCACCUAUUAGGCUAUCACUACACCUCACCUCACCUCACAUUUUUUUUAGAUACACCUCACCUCACAUUUUUUUUAGAAAACAAAGAAAUAAAACACCCAAAUGUUGGUGAGACACCAACAAACACCCAAAAAAGACCCGUCCCAAACAAAGGGGCAAAGACCCAAACCUAACAGAAACUCCUAACCCUAAGCAACGACACCCCCUCCACAGCCGCCGACAACCCCUGCCUCGACAGCCUCGGACAGCACAACCCCAAAACCAAAACUCUGGCCACUGCCGCUGCCCUGAAAGAAAACAACCGCCGUCCAAGGCUCAUACCCACCACAGACCACCACCAACAGCACCCACCAUCGCCAACGGUGACGCACACUCGUGCCCAAAACACCAAUCACGCCAGAAAACCAUGGACAGAGCAAAACAACCAAUGACCGGAGGAGGAUGGGAUGAACCUGAAAGCUGCGUGAAAACCCAACGCCGUUAAGCCAUAGACCAGAUCCAACCAAGGGAGAAUCCGGUGGGAAAUCCACCGUCCGAAACACAGAAACGCUCAAGCGCACGCUGCCAAAACCACCACCUAGCCAUUAGGCCCCAAGACUUGAACCGGAUCUACCCAGGAGAAAGAUCCGACGGGUGAUUCUGGCGAGACGAGCUAGAACGAAGUGGAAUGGAAGGCAAAUGGACCGUCACGGAAGGGAAAGAGGCGCAGAAAACCUAGGGAGAGGAGAAAGGGAGAGAGGAG